GCGAAGGUAGCGCAAUCACUUGUCUUUUAAAUGAAGACCUGUAUGAAUGGCAUGACGAGGGCUUAACUGUCUCCUUUUUCCAGUCAAUGAAAUUGAUCUUCCCGUGCAGAAGCGGGAAUAAUAUCAUAAGACGAGAAGACCCUGUGGAGCUUCAGACACUAAAUCAGCCCUUGUCCAAAAUCCCAAUUAAGGGACUGAACACUAGAGUGAAGCCUGAUUUAACGUCUUCGGUUGGGGCGACCUUGGGGAAAGAAAAACCCCCACGCGGAACAGAAGUAUUAUACUUCCAAAACUAAGAGCCGCCACUCAAAGUAUCAGAAAUUCUGACCAACUAUAUGAUCCGGCCUAACGCCGAUCAACGGACCGAGUUACCCCA
rnacentral:rRNA from 1 species